GCCUGGGUGGCUCAGUCGGUUGAGCAUCUGCUUUUGGCUCAGAUCAUGAUCCCAAGGUCCUGGGAUCAAGCCCCACAUCAGGCU
rfam:Canis lupus familiaris chromosome X, whole genome shotgun sequence.